UGUUUGGAGAGUUUGAUCCUGGCUCAGGACGAACGCUGGCGGCGUGCUUAACACAUGCAAGUCGAACGGGAUCUGCGUGGCCUUUGUGGUUGUGUGGUGAGAGUGGCGAACGGGUGAGUAACACGUGAGUAACCUGCCUUUUUCUUUGGGAUAACGCUCAGAAAUGGGUGCUAAUACUGGAUGUUCUGCGCUUUCCGCAUGGGGGGUGUGGGAAAGGGGCCUUUGUGGUUUCUGGAGGGAGAUGGGCUCGCGGCUUAUCAGCUUGUUGGUGGGGUGAUGGCUUACCAAGGCUUUGACGGGUAGCCGGCCUGAGAGGGUGGGCGGUCACAUUGGGACUGAGAUACGGCCCAGACUCCUACGGGAGGCAGCAGUGGGGAAUUUUGCACAAUGGGGGGAACCUUGAUGCAGCGACGCCGCGUGAGGGAUGGAGGCCUUCGGGUUGUGAACCUCUUUCGCUCGUGUGCAAGCCGCUAUUUGGGUAGUGGUGAGUGUAGCGGGUAAAGAAGCGCCGGCUAACUACGUGCCAGCAGCCGCGGUAAUACGUAGGGCGCGAGCGUUGUCCGGAUUUAUUGGGCGUAAAGGGCUUGUAGGCGGUUUGUCGCGCCUGUCGUGUAAUCCUCUGGCUUAACUGGGGGUGUGCGGUGGGUACGGGCAGGCUUGAGUGCGGUAGGGGAGAUUGGAAUUCCUGGUGUAGCGGUGGAAUGCGCAGAUAUCAGGAGGAACACCGGUGGCGAAGGCGGGUCUCUGGGCCGUUACUGACGCUGAGGAGCGAAAGCGUGGGGAGCGAACAGGAUUAGAUACCCUGGUAGUCCAUGCUGUAAACGUUGGGCACUAGGUGUGGGGGCCGCCCUUGGUUUCUGCGCCGUAGCUAACGCUUUAAGUGCCCCGCCUGGGGAGUACGGCCGCAAGGCUAAAACUCAAAGGAAUUGACGGGGGCCCGCACAAGCGGCGGAGCAUGCGGAUUAAUUCGAUGCA
rnacentral:rRNA from 1 species